UUAAGCGACUAAGCGUACACGGUGGAUGCCCUGGCAGUCAGAGGCGAUGAAGGACGUGCUAAUCUGCGAUAAGCGUCGGUAAGGUGAUAUGAACCGUUAUAACCGGCGAUUUCCGAAUGGGGAAACCCAGUGUGAUUCGUCACACUAUCAUUAACUGAAUCCAUAGGUUAAUGAGGCGAACCGGGGGAACUGAAACAUCUAAGUACCCCGAGGAAAAGAAAUCAACCGAGAUUCCCCCAGUAGCGGCGAGCGAACGGGGAGGAGCCCAGAGCCUGAAUCAGUGUGUGUGUUAGUGGAAGCGUCUGGAAAGGCGCGCGAUACAGGGUGACAGCCCCGUACACAAAAAUGCACAUACUGUGAGCUCGAUGAGUAGGGCGGGACACGUGGUAUCCUGUCUGAAUAUGGGGGGACCAUCCUCCAAGGCUAAAUACUCCUGACUGACCGAUAGUGAACCAGUACCGUGAGGGAAAGGCGAAAAGAACCCCGGCGAGGGGAGUGAAAAAGAACCUGAAACCGUGUACGUACAAGCAGUGGGAGCACAGAGCAAUCUGUGUGACUGCGUACCUUUUGUAUAAUGGGUCAGCGACUUAUAUUCUGUAGCAAGGUUAACCGAAUAGGGGAGCCGAAGGGAAACCGAGUCUUAACCGGGCGUUAAGUUGCAGGGUAUAGACCCGAAACCCGGUGAUCUAGCCAUGGGCAGGUUGAAGGUUGGGUAACACUAACUGGAGGACCGAACCGACUAAUGUUGAAAAAUUAGCGGAUGACUUGUGGCUGGGGGUGAAAGGCCAAUCAAACCGGGAGAUAGCUGGUUCUCCCCGAAAGCUAUUUAGGUAGCGCCUCGUGAAUUCAUCUCCGGGGGUAGAGCACUGUUUCGGCAAGGGGGUCAUCCCGACUUACCAACCCGAUGCAAACUGCGAAUACCGGAGAAUGUUAUCACGGGAGACACACGGCGGGUGCUAACGUCCGUCGUGAAGAGGGAAACAACCCAGACCGCCAGCUAAGGUCCCAAAGUCAUGGUUAAGUGGGAAACGAUGUGGGAAGGCCCAGACAGCCAGGAUGUUGGCUUAGAAGCAGCCAUCAUUUAAAGAAAGCGUAAUAGCUCACUGGUCGAGUCGGCCUGCGCGGAAGAUGUAACGGGGCUAAACCAUGCACCGAAGCUGCGGCAGCGACACUGUGUGUUGUUGGGUAGGGGAGCGUUCUGUAAGCCUGUGAAGGUGUGCUGUGAGGCAUGCUGGAGGUAUCAGAAGUGCGAAUGCUGACAUAAGUAACGAUAAAGCGGGUGAAAAGCCCGCUCGCCGGAAGACCAAGGGUUCCUGUCCAACGUUAAUCGGGGCAGGGUGAGUCGACCCCUAAGGCGAGGCCGAAAGGCGUAGUCGAUGGGAAACAGGUUAAUAUUCCUGUACUUGGUGUUACUGCGAAGGGGGGACGGAGAAGGCUAUGUUGGCCGGGCGACGGUUGUCCCGGUUUAAGCGUGUAGGCUGGUUUUCCAGGCAAAUCCGGAAAAUCAAGGCUGAGGCGUGAUGACGAGGCACUACGGUGCUGAAGCAACAAAUGCCCUGCUUCCAGGAAAAGCCUCUAAGCAUCAGGUAACAUCAAAUCGUACCCCAAACCGACACAGGUGGUCAGGUAGAGAAUACCAAGGCGCUUGAGAGAACUCGGGUGAAGGAACUAGGCAAAAUGGUGCCGUAACUUCGGGAGAAGGCACGCUGAUAUGUAGGUGAAGUCCCUCGCGGAUGGAGCUGAAAUCAGUCGAAGAUACCAGCUGGCUGCAACUGUUUAUUAAAAACACAGCACUGUGCAAACACGAAAGUGGACGUAUACGGUGUGACGCCUGCCCGGUGCCGGAAGGUUAAUUGAUGGGGUCAGCGCAAGCGAAGCUCUUGAUCGAAGCCCCGGUAAACGGCGGCCGUAACUAUAACGGUCCUAAGGUAGCGAAAUUCCUUGUCGGGUAAGUUCCGACCUGCACGAAUGGCGUAAUGAUGGCCAGGCUGUCUCCACCCGAGACUCAGUGAAAUUGAACUCGCUGUGAAGAUGCAGUGUACCCGCGGCAAGACGGAAAGACCCCGUGAACCUUUACUAUAGCUUGACACUGAACAUUGAGCCUUGAUGUGUAGGAUAGGUGGGAGGCUUUGAAGUGUGGACGCCAGUCUGCAUGGAGCCGACCUUGAAAUACCACCCUUUAAUGUUUGAUGUUCUAACGUGGACCCGUGAUCCGGGUUGCGGACAGUGUCUGGUGGGUAGUUUGACUGGGGCGGUCUCCUCCUAAAGAGUAACGGAGGAGCACGAAGGUUGGCUAAUCUUGGUCGGACAUCAGGAGGUUAGUGCAAUGGCAUAAGCCAGCUUGACUGCGAGCGUGACGGCGCGAGCAGGUGCGAAAGCAGGUCAUAGUGAUCCGGUGGUUCUGAAUGGAAGGGCCAUCGCUCAACGGAUAAAAGGUACUCCGGGGAUAACAGGCUGAUACCGCCCAAGAGUUCAUAUCGACGGCGGUGUUUGGCACCUCGAUGUCGGCUCAUCACAUCCUGGGGCUGAAGUAGGUCCCAAGGGUAUGGCUGUUCGCCAUUUAAAGUGGUACGCGAGCUGGGUUUAGAACGUCGUGAGACAGUUCGGUCCCUAUCUGCCGUGGGCGCUGGAGAACUGAGGGGGGCUGCUCCUAGUACGAGAGGACCGGAGUGGACGCAUCACUGGUGUUCGGGUUGUCAUGCCAAUGGCACUGCCCGGUAGCUAAAUGCGGAAGAGAUAAGUGCUGAAAGCAUCUAAGCACGAAACUUGCCCCGAGAUGAGUUCUCCCUGACCCUUUAAGGGUCCUGAAGGAACGUUGAAGACGACGACGUUGAUAGGCCGGGUGUGUAAGCGCAGCGAUGCGUUGAGCUAACCGGUACUAAUGAACCGUGAGGCUUAACCU
rnacentral:rRNA from 1 species